rnacentral:rRNA from 1 species
CAGCCGCCGCGGUAAUACGAAGGGUGCAAGCGUUAAUCGGAAUUACUGGGCGUAAAGCGUGCGUAGGCGGUGAGCUAAGUCUGCUGUGAAAUCCCCGGGCUCAACCUGGGAAUGGCAGUGGAUACUGGCUCGCUAGAGUGUGUCAGAGGAUGGUGGAAUUCCCGGUGUAGCGGUGAAAUGCGUAGAGAUCGGGAGGAACAUCAGUGGCGAAGGCGGCCAUCUGGGACAACACUGACGCUGAGGCACGAAAGCGUGGGGAGCAAACAGGAUUAGAUACCCCGGUAGUCCCUGUCUCUUAACA